rnacentral:rRNA from 1 species
AACGAACGCUGGCGGCAGGCCUAACACAUGCAAGUCGAACGCCCUAGCAAUAGGGAGUGGCGCACGGGUGCGUAACGCGUGGGAAUAUACCCUUCACUGCGGAAUAACGUUUGGAAACGAACGCUAAUACCGCAUAAUGACUCCGGUCCAAAGAUUUAUCGGUGAAGGAUUAGCCCGCGUUAGAUUAGCUAGUUGGUGAGGUAAUGGCUCACCAAGGCUACGAUCUAUAGCUGGUCUGAGAGGAUGAUCAGCCACACUGGGACUGAGACACGGCCCAGACUCCUACGGGAGGCAGCAGUGAGGAAUAUUGGACAAUGGGGGCAACCCUGAUCCAGCCAUGCCGCGUGAGUGAAGAAGGCCUUCGGGUGUAAAGCUCUUUCAGUUGUGAAGAUAAUGACGGUAGC